rnacentral:rRNA from 1 species
GCCUAAAGCGUCCGUAGCCUGAUCUAUAAGUUUCCGGUUAAAUCCACAUGCUCAACAUAUGGGCUGCCGGAAAAACUGUAGAUCUAGGGAGUGGGAGAGGUAGACGGUACUCGGUAGGAAGGGGUAAAAUCCUUUGAUCUAUUGAUGACCACCAGUGGCGAAGGCGGUCUACCAGAACACGUUCGACGGUGAGGGAUGAAAGCUGGGGGAGCAAACCGGAUUAGAUACCCGGGUAGUCCCAGCUGUAAACGAUGCAGACUCGGUGAUGCAUUGGCUUGUGGCCAGUGCAGUGCCGCAGGGAAGCCGUUAAGUUUGCCGCCUGGGAAGUACGUACGCAAGUAUGAAACUUAAAGGAAUUGGCGGGGGAGCACCACAAGGGGUGAAGCCUGCGGUUCAAUUGGAGUCAACGCCAGAAAUCUUACCCGGAGAGACAGCAGAAUGAAGGUCAAGCUGAAGACUUUACCAGACAAGCUGAGAGGUGGUGCAUGGCCGUCGCCAGCUCGUGCCGUGAGAUGUCCUGUUAAGUCAGGUAACGAGCGAGACCCUUGCCUCUAGUUGCUACCAUUGCUCUCUGGAGCAGUGGGGCGAAUUAGCGGGACCGCCGCAGUUAAUGCGGAGGAAGGAAAGGGCUACGGCAGGUCAGUAUGCCCCGAA